ACAAGCUACAAAGGAGAAGAGAAAAAAUUAACAAACAGCUCUCAUAAAAUUCCUUAAUGGAAGCUCCUAAGCUAAAGUAGCACACAAUAAACAGGCUGCGAGCCAGAGGGAUGUCUGCAUAUGUUCUGCACCCGAACUCCUUUCCCAGCUUCCUGUACAGACGCUCCCUUCACAGAACCUCAAGUUCACAUAUCAGUUUGUGGAUUUAUUGCAAGUUGUGUUUUUUUAAAAAAGAGGAUAAGUUGAGUGACAAAUAGUGCAUGGAUAUCUUUUCAGACACUCACAAGUCUCAAUUUGUUUUUUGUUGUCCUUUUUAAUUCAAAAGAGUCUUAAAGAGCAGUUUGGGAAUUAUGUGAAAACAACUUCUGAAAAGGAAAGUUUGCACAAAAGAAGUGUCAGAUGUGCACAUAUCCCACUGGGUCGUGGUCCUUGUCCGGUUGGCAAUACUGCAUGGGCUAAAAAUGAUGAGAAUUUAACAUUGCUGGCCUUUAUUGGUUAUAGGAAUUACAAAAAUGACAUCAUAUUCCCUAAAGUACUUAAGAGAAAUCAAUUAGGAUAUCAGUCUCUUUUUGUGGCAAAAAUAUGCACCAUCCACAAUCAGUCAUGAUUAGAAACUAAUGAGACAAGUUAGUCAUGAUUAACUUAGUCUGCAUACCAUCCUAAAUCUUUGAAGUCAGUGGCCCCAAUUCCGACAGAGUUCCUUAUAACUAUGUACCCUUGAAACCAUGAGAAGUGAGCUAUUAUCCUUAUGUUUGAUUGAUUGAUUAAGUGCUGUCAAGCCUGUGACGACUCCUAGCAACCACACAGAUAGGUUCUCUCCAGGAUGAUCGGUCUUCAACUUGCCCUUUAAGGUCUCUCAGUGCUGCAUUAAUUGCUGUUGUAAUCAAGUCCAUCCACCUUAUGUUUAAAAGCCUGACUAUUAAGUCUUUGACCAGUUGGAUUUCUUGAGGGGACUGGGAUCCCAUGGUAUUUGGACAUCAAGUGACUUCAAUUAAGAAAGAUCUGGUACACAAAAGGUCACAACCCCUUGAGCAAUCUUUUUUCUUAUGCUGAUUGUGAAGACGUCCUCUAACUCCCCCCCUCUCCUCCUAUUUAAAAAGAUAAGGUGUGCUAUCAAGUCGAUUUCGACUCCUGGCACCCACAGAGCCCUGUGGUUUUCUUUGGUAGAAUACAGGAGGGGUUUACCAUUGCCUCCUCCCACACAUUUAGGAAAUCCUCUUUAUAUUCCUAGCAUAAGGUCAUUCACACAAUCAAAAACUGUGUUCUACCCAGGACCUGUGAGUGCUCCCAAUUUUCAGUUGUGUGGAAGCCUGGUAGGUAGGAGGAAAAGCUACCCAGGUUUCCCUCCUACCUUGCUUCCACACAACCGCAAAUUGGGAGCAUGCACAGCUCCUGGGCAGAAGACAGUUUUUGAAUGUGUGAAUGACCUCUUUAUAUUUCCUCAAAGAAUGCUCACCAGUUUGUGCAUGCCACAUAAGCAGUGAACAAGUAGAAAAGCAUUUGCAAAUUAAUUACUUUGGUGCUCAAACUAAAAUGAUUGCUUACUUCUAUUAUAGACUCUUCAGUGUUAAUCAGCUGGAGACCCUUCAAGUUAGGUUAAAGUUGCGUUUGAGGAAUUUCUGCUCUUACCUGGAAGCCAUUUGGGUGUCUAACUGCUAUUUUAGAAUACUACUCAGGCUUCCCUUCUUGCAUAUGCAACUUGUGUGUUAUCACUCGAAUACUAUUCAGAGAGACAAGAGUUCUGCCUGAUGGACUAAUUGGUGUUCCUAGUCCUGUUUCAUCUUGAAUGCAGAAUCUUUAGAAGAACUCUCAUGACUCCUAGUAUAUCACAACAAAUAGCUCCCCAUGUGUUUUCCCUUCAAAGUAGCUUCUCUUUUUCUGUCUCACAAUGCUAUGGCAUACUUAAACAAAAAAAAGGUUACUACCUGUGAUGGGAAAAGAGUCCAGAAGCAUACUCCAACAGAAGGUAUUCACGCAUAUUGGAACCGAAACUAGAGGAAGAGCACAGUGUAAUAUAUCCCGUUAUGUGAUCACUUGCACUGAAUUAAGGGCUGCGACAGCUAUACUUUGCUUAUUGUCAAAGAUUUCAUACCCCAGUCUACUUCUGCUCAAUAUCACUUCUGAAUUGUUGCAAUUCACAUCUGUUUUAUAUUUAGCUACUAGCUGUUCUUAACGUGCAACACUGACAUGAAUUUGACAGCCUGCUCACCAAUCAGUGGCAAGAAGUGGGACAAAACUGACCAGUAUUAAGCAGCAGCUUCCAUCUCUGCAUUUAUUUCAUCAUAUUAUGUUCUGCCUUUCUUCCAUCAUGGAACCCAGUGUAGCAUAUACAAAGUUCUCAGGCAGUCACUCAUCCAGGCAUUGACCAGACUCUGACCUGCUUCGCUUCAGCAAGGUGGCUGUAUCAUGAACCCUCAGACCAUCUGUAUAACCAUAUGCAUUCUGUGCCACAGAGAAAUGUAUUCUCUCUUCUAGAAUACAGCACAUCAAUCACGCAAAAGGGAAGCCCUGGUCAUCCAGAAAAUGUUUGCAGUUCUUCCUCAGGUGGUACAAGUCACACAUCUUUAAAGAGAAGAAGUAAUAUCUCCCCCUUCUAGAUGCCAGCCAGAGGCUGCCAGUGCUUCUCAGUAUAGGGACUGAAACAGUUGUGAAGGUAUGAAGUUGCUUUAUACCCAGUUAGACUAUUAGUCUACCUAGCCUAGUACUGUCUGUUCUCUGGCAGUGCCUUUCCAGGGCCUGAAACAGGGGUUCUUUAUGUGCUAUCACUGAGCUAGGAUGACUUGCUCCCAAUGAAGAGAAAAUAGCAGCACAACUAAAUUUAAAUGUGGGGUCAAUCUCUGGCAAGAAAGAAGGCAGAUGCUUUAUUCACGGAAGAAUGCAGUAGGAGUUGGGAGUUUAACAAACAGAUCAGCUUAGGAAUAUAACAAAAAGGCACAAGGACUACUCCAGUAAUAUUUUGCAACAGGACUGCUGAAGACCACAACGCCAUGAGAAUUUCUGUUGUACUCUGGAAUAACAGCUGGUAGAGUACCAUGGCUGUGAGCUGGGCAAUCUUCAGUUUAAACGCCAACUCAGUUACAAAUGCACUAGUCAUCACAGGCAAGCCAUGAUUCUCUCAGCCUUGGUUCACAUCUAAAAAUGGUGAUAACACUACGGUUUAGAAUUACUGUUACAGUAUGCUAGGCACUCUGAACACUCUAAAGUGUUACAUAAAUGCUAAGUAUUAUUAAUAAAAGCUUCCUUGAACAGAAGCCUUUACAACUAAGCAAAGUCAUUUAAAAACCCAAUUCUGUUAUAAGGCUCAUAACACUGCUGGCUCCUACCCAGUAGUACACUAUUUUCUUUUGCAUGGUCAGUCUCUAAGACUACUAAGCAAGCUUUCAACCACUACCAUUCAUAAGGCUAUCUUUAUUUUAAACAGUCAAAUGUUUUUGAAAAGGACUUACUAAAGAUUGUGAGACUGUAGGAGACUGCAGUGAUCCAGUAGGUCUGUCAGAUGAGCUACAAACCACCAGUUGCUCAGAGCAAUGCUGUACAUACAAGAAAUGAAAGAGGGAUUAUAAAAGGUAAUGUAUCACACACUACAAGACUGCCAUCUGCUCUGACAAGAGUGACCAUCCCCAUCCAACUACACAGUUUAGCAACUCUAUUACACCAAAAAGAAUUACAUUUAUUUGGUCGAUGUGUUUUUGUCACUAAGCUCCUUUAUUUAUUUAUUUAUUUUAAAAGGGGCUUCCCCUUCCUUCCUAUUUACCCGUUACUAUAUUCACAAGCAAUUUCUUUGUCCCUUAAAUACAAGAGAUAUUCCAGAUUGCAAACCUGACAAGACCACAAAUAAAGUGCUCUAAAAUGCAGAUGGCAAAGUCACCUGCACUCUUUAAUCACUUGAUGGAUGUCGAACUCAAAGGCUGCAAGCAAGAUGCUGUCUAAGGGUUCGGGGCUGCUCUCUCCUCCCAGGAACAGAUCAAGGCUGGACUGUGGAAUUCACAAAGAGUGCCUCCAAGGUGGCAUCAUCACUUCUCCCAUCGUCAUGAGAAGCCAGAGGACAAGAUGAUGCAAAGAGGCCUCCCUGUCAGUUGCCUUUCUGCUUCGGCAGCAGAAAGGCUGAGGCUGGCUCCACUCUCAAAAGCAGUAUUCCCCAAGUCACCUGUGCGUAGAGAUGGAGUUCCACAUGCUUCACAGUAGGAUGGCAAUACAACAGCCGAGUUACCAGAAAAUGGUACCAGGUAGUCAUGAGAUCUCUCUUUUCUAAAAUGGUGUUCUCAUCUCCCACUAGGAUCUAACGGCAAAAGGGAGAAACUUCUUUAGUGACCCCACAGAGACCCUAUGCAACACUUCUUUGAUCUUUUGACCUCUAGAAAAUCCUGGUUUUGGAGGAAGGUGUGGAGGUGGCUAGUGCUAGCUCCCCAAGAGCAAAUGUGUUCAGUACAUUUUUUUGUCCCCAUACAGUAGGGGAGCUUUUCUGUGGCAGCGGGUGGGGGAGCUCUCCUGUUCAAAGCACAUCCCACCACUACCCAAGUGCCAUUCUAGGUUGUGUUCUCUCUUUAUUCUCAGUGUUGGGAGUAUAUAAAGGUUUUUGGGGUGUGUGUGGUUUUUUUUAAAGAAACAAGUUAACAAAACUGAAAUACUAGACUCGUUGGUGUUCAUUAAGUACCCUACUCCACUUUUAGAGAAGGAAUGCUCCAGAGGAGAGUGCUCAGCUCCUGAAGAGAAAACACUGACUACCCUGACUAGCAGGUUUUGUGUAGCUGCAGCAGGAAUCCUCACCCAACUAUCCCAGUCCCCUUGCACUCACACUGUUGCACAAGCGCUCCCACUGCGUCCACACAGACCCUGCGAGUGCACUUGCCCUGUCAGUCAGGAUGUCAGCCACUCACUUUAAAGAAAUUGUAAAAUGGUACUGGCAUGGAUCAGAAGGGGUAUUAUACUUGUUACUAGGGAUCAUGUCUGGCUACUAACAGGUGCCCAUGACACUCACAGCACCACAUUCCACACAGCACUCUGGACCAGAGGGGCACUUAGGUAAGUGUGGAGCCUGGACCUAAAGGCCUUUGGAGCCGCCCACCCACUGCAAGUUAAGCAUUAUCCCCCAAGACACACAGGAUUUUUACUACGUGGGUUCUUGAGGGCACCAAUAAAAUAAAUAAAUAAUCACAAGAAUGUAAGAAUAUACAACAGGUAUAUUUAUGCAAAUAUGCAGUAACACAUAACUUAACAUAUUCCCAUCCCACAUAUUUAUUUCCCCACUCUCCCCUCUGUCUCUAAAGCACCCAGCACAGGUCAUCAUCAUGCCUGGCAUUGUGUGGGCCAGCCAGAGGCAGAUUUAGCCACAGACCUCAGGGACCAGGUCUGUGGCUUCCUGGGAGGCCUCCCAGAGUCCCACCCAUGCCAAUAUUUGCCAUCUUCACCAUCUGGGGGUGAGCGGAGCAGCCCCCCGCUCCCCACAGCAGUGGCAGCUUGUCCUUGGGGUGCACCUGCGCAGUGAAUAGGGAACAUUGCAUGUCAGUGAUGUCAGGUCUUUCAAACAUCUCCCUUUGAAUGCCUCAUGACACUAUAUUCAUUGCUGAAUCUGCAUUCCCAACCACCUUAAAUCUAUCAUUUGCUCUCCCUUUGUUCUAAGAUGUCACACACCUUGCAGAGGGUCUCCAGGUGAGGGUUAGAAGCAAAUGUGCCAUCUUGCAAGAAUCGCUGACAUUCCUCGUGCCAAUGCUGCCAUUUCAACUCUAUCUCUGUCAAAGUCUGAGUGCUGCCAGGCUAGAAGUGGUUAGAAAAAGCAGGCCUUUUUAACCCACAAGAGAAAAUUUCUCCAAAAAUCAUUGCAGCCUUCAAACAACUUUCCAGGAAGAAAAAAACAAGACAUCCUGCACACAGAUCAAAAGCAAUUUAAGAUUCUUGUUCUAACCAUAUGAAAGGGAUGUGUGACUGAAACUCCAAAGUAGAUAGUAUAAGAAGCUUUCCUCCCUUGCGAAAGCACACUACAUCACAACAGCGUUCUGCUGGCAAAUAUCUGUCUAUGUUUCCAGAGAAUUAAUUUAAUGAAACUUCCUGCUAAACGCUGAGGUUAACAGCCAAAGUCCAGAAGCAACAUUCUCCUUGAAACUGUAUCAAAGAUAAGACUAUUUCACAGUGACACAAGGAACUUUCAUUUCCCACAACAAAGAACCCGUAUGAAACGAUGGUUUAAUCCUCAUUCGUAUAAAGCUCAGUGAUAGAGUCUGUGCAUUGCAUGCAGAAGGUCCCAAGUUAAAUUCCUAACAUUUUCAACCUAAAAAGAUCUCAGAUAGCAUGUCUGGGAAGAACCCCUGCCAGACCUUAGAGAGCUGCUGCCAGUCAGAGCAGACAGUCCUUGAACUAUAUGGCCUGACUCAGAAAAAGGCAGCUAAAAUGUUGCCUUGGUGAACACACACCAUUGCAAGUACUACGUAGAACUGUCACUGUAUGAUAAAACAAACAGCUUACAUACAUUGAAAACAGGCAUUUUCCUCAUUAACUCAUCCAAAAUUUUGCACAUGCUCACUGAUGUGGCAUUGGUAUUCGCUUCCUUGGAGAGCAGCUGUCGAGCCUCAUCCAUUCGGCCCUGAAGCACAAACAUAGUUACCUGCAAAACAAAAACACACAAGAUGUGCUGUAGAGUAUGAAAUGCAACCCAAUGAACGACCUACACAUAAAUAUUAACACCCACACUUAUCCACAUACAGCUACAAUGGGACAUGCAAUGGUUAAUGCCAAUCAGAACAGCAUCGUAAAAUAGGGCUGACCCCUCUGAGCAAGCAUGUAGCGUUGCACUGACAUACCUAACUCUGCAGUGGUUGAAAGGUUUCCAGUCCUGUCUUCACCAGGAAGCAGUUUGGCUCACCACUACUAUAUACAGCUGACAAUGGUGACUGUUGCUGCUAGAGCAACCUUCAAACAUGCAGUUUUACUUUAAGAAACUGCAAGACUAUUCACAUGACCCGAGGUGGGGAGAGAGCGCAGGCAGGGGGAAGGCCAUGCUGAACUUCCCUUCCUCCCAGAUGACCACUGGCCUACCCAAGCCACACAGCUAAGGCGUUCACACAUGUGGCUCUCCUGGGAGCCAUGUGGCACCAGAUAUCCCAUAAUGCACCACACGAGUGCAGUGCCUUAAUGGAAUCUCCUGGGAGUUGGACACGCUAGGUGCUUGUCUCUGUGUCCACCAGGGCUGCAAGCAGCUGGGGUUAAGGGUGCACUCGUGCCCUCAACCCUGGUUGAAAUCAAAAGUUUGGCAGCAAAGCACCACUGGGAUCAGGCUCAAUCGCAGCAGUUCUCACGUGCAGCCUAACCCAGUCUGGGUCUCACACACUGCAGCUAUAAGCUACAGUACUGCACUGAGGCUUUCACACUUUGCUAGGAACUUCGCACAGUUCCUAGCCAAACAUCUCGCAAUGCCAAACCAUCAAAAUGCUUGGAGUUUGCAGCAUUUGUACAGAUGACUCAAACACAACAGAGCCAGCCUUCCUUCCUUCCUUCGGUGCUGCUUUAAACUGAAAGGAUAUUGCCCUUUUAGAAAAGAUCAUUCACACUAGUCCCGAUUCCAGCUAGAUAACCUUCCAAGAGAAUAGCGACAGCAAGCACACAAACUUUCUUGGAUAAGGAAAUUCUUCACUCACCACAUUCCAGAAAUUUUCAUGUUUUGCUGGACACUCACUCCUCAGAACUUCACAAGCCAGAUUAUCCACAUCACACACAUGAAGACGAACCCAGUCAAGGAGAUGAGACAGGAGCGGACCAGCUGGAAGAAGAGACAUAUUUCCAUGAUCUGCUUUCUCUUAUUCUUAUUUGAGGACUGACCUAUGGGUCCCCCCCUUUUUUAAAUGCAGUUUGGUCUGCUUUUGGCUGAAAUUGACCGGAGUAGCACUUGUGGGGUGCUAACAGUUACAUCUGCUAUUUGGAGCAUGUGCUUCUACUAGGCCUUUAGUACACCUAGUUAGCCAAAACAAUGAAGUCCUUUUGCAUCUGGAUUCAGGAAAACAUCUUUUCAGGAUGAGAGGGGGAAAGAGAGCAAGGAAUGCUUUAAAUAAGGUCCAAAACAGAACACUGCAUUAAAAGGGGAAUAUGGAAAGAAUGCAGAUUGUAACCACCCUGGAUGGGAUAUCAACUUUGUAUUCUUUUUACUGCAAGCUACUCUGAAACACACAGGAGAGAGAUUUUGCUUUUUAAGGCUUGCUUUUUGACUUGCUACCUGCAGUAAUGUAACCUGCUCUUUGAAAGUGAUGAAGCUUAACAUGUCAGUGCUUUACAUUGUGCUAUUUGACAAUAAAACGAUAUUUUUAAAGGA